UACGGAGGGUGCGAGCGUUGUCCGGAAUCACUGGGCGUAAAGGGCGCGUAGGCGGCCUGAUAAGUUAGGGGGGUGAAAUCCUGCGGCUUAACCGCAGGGCUGCCUUCUAAACUGUCAGGCUCGAGCACAGUAGAGGCAGGUGGAAUUCCCGGUGUAGCGGUGGAAUGCGUAGAGAUCGGGAAGAACAUCAGUGGCGAAGGCGGCCUGCUGGGCUGUUGCUGACGCUGAGGCGCGACAGCGUGGGGGAGCAAACAGG
rnacentral:rRNA from 1 species